UACGAAGGGGGCUAGCGUUGCUCGGAAUCACUGGGCGUAAAGGGUGCGUAGGCGGGUCUUUAAGUCAGGGGUGAAAUCCUGGAGCUCAACUCCAGAACUGCCUUUGAUACUGAGGAUCUUGAGUUCGGGAGAGGUGAGUAGAACUGCGAGUGUAGAGGUGAAAUUCGUAGAUAUUCGCAAGAACACCAGUGGCGAAGGCGGCUCACUGGCCCGGUACUGACGCUGAGGCACGAAAGCGUGGGGAGCAAACAGG
rnacentral:rRNA from 1 species